rnacentral:rRNA from 1 species
CCUACGGGUGGCAGCAGUGAGGAAUAUUGGUCAAUGGACGCGAGUCUGAACCAGCCAAGUAGCGUGAGGGAUGACUGCCCUAUGGUUUGUAAACCUCUUUUAUAAGGGAAUAAAAUGAGGGACGCGUCCCGUUUCGCAUGUACUUUAUGAAUAAGGAUCGGCUAACUCCGUGCCAGCAGCCGCGGUAAUACGGAGGAUCCGAGCGUUAUCCGGAUUUAUUGGGUUUAAAGGGUGCGUAGAUGGCUUUUUAAGUCAGCUGUGAAAGUUUGUGGCUCAACCGUAGAAUUGCCAUUGAUACUGGGAGGCUUGAGUAUAGUUGAGGCAGGCGGAAUGCGUGGUGUAGCGGUGAAAUGCAUAGAUAUCACGAAGAACCCCGAUUGCGAAGGCAGCUUACCAAGCUGUGACUGACAUUGAUGCACGAAAGCGUGGGGAUCGAACAGGAUUAGAUACCCUAGUAGUC